GUUCAUUAAGUUACUGUGGCCUCCUCAUUGCCUAUAUUUGCAGGCAAGUAUUUAAGAUUUUAUUUUUCUAUUAAAUUUUGAUAUUUAUUCAGAGAUUGGGAAUUGCAGGAAAGAAGUCAAUGUGUCCAAUUAUUUCCAAUGGUAUUAUGUGAUUCAUCAGCUCAUUUUAAUUUGACAUUCCGACUGACAAGGAGUGGUUUCUUAGAGCUUCGAGACGAGGUUGCUUUGACACUUAAUUCUAUGGAUAAAUGUAGAGACGGUGGAUUUGAAGAGGUUUUCAUGACCAAGAUUGAUUUGCCUGCUAAAUAUGAUUAUUACAUAAGAAUCAUGGUGUGUACAAGGGAUUUGGUUUUUAAUUUUUAGUGGUAAACCAAAUCGGCCUACAAAGUGAGUUCAUCUUUAAUUAUCUUUAGUUUUUAUAUCUUUUUUACUUACUAUCUUCUUUCCUACUAACCUUUUUCUUAUGCUAUAAACUUGAAGCAAUUUGUAUUCAAAAUAAUGAUCUCUUUGUUUUCUUUUAUUUGUACCACUUGAAUACUAUUUGAAUUUACUUGAUUAGGGUAGUGGCAACGUUCUAGCUAUUGCCCUUAGGAUCACUAUCUACUUUUGGGAUCUUCUGUGGAUCUACUUCUGAAAUUGUGAAUUGAUGACGAAAUUGCCAUGUCACCAGUGUUUACUAGGGAGGAAUGAAAGAUACAUUGCUGUUGGGCUGAAUAAUUAUGGGAUUCUUCCUCCAAUCGACAGGUCUAUUCUUCCAGAUUUGGUGGUUAUUCGGGAUUCUUCUUCAUUAUUGUCGAGGUUAUGUAGAAAUAAAUGUCCGACUCUUUACCUAAUACACAUUACUUGAGUAUGAUAAUCUUCCUUUCCAGAAAUUAUUGAUUCUUGAAUGUAUGAAAUAAAACUGAAAGCUUUUGAAUAUCCCUCCUGAAUUGUUGAUUUGAUUUGAAUCAUAGAACCUAUAAUAAUCCACCUUACUAGAAUCAAACAUUAUUUCCUGAAAACUGUGACUCUCACAACCAACUAUGUUCUUCUCCUUGUUGCCUAGAUUAAACUGAGAUGACCAAGAAAUUUUAUUUUCAUGGUUAGCAUUCUUUGUCGUUCUGUGCCCUUCUGAAUUCUGUUGGGAAUUUUAUGCGAAAAAUUGACCUCUAAACUCAUAAAAAGAAGUUAGAGAGUACAAUAAGACUGAGGUUAUCCCUAAUCUAAGGAAGAUUGGCACAGAUGUGGAUGCCGGUCCCAAAACACUGUUUUGAAAAAGUUUCAUCUAUGAGAUAUGAUUAGUAUAUGUAAAGAGAAUGCAUUCAACAGUUCUUUUACCUUUCUUAUUUUUUCUCUCAGCAAUCUCCCUAUUUCCUGAUUUCCCUUCCUUCUACUUUGUUUUGAUGGAAUGUUACAAAUGCGAUGUAAUUCAUAAUGUGCUAUUGUUUCCAACCAGUCUUUGGCAAGUAAAAGGGGGAAAAAAAACAAUGUAUUUCAUAAUGUGCUAUAGUUUCCAACCAGUCUUUGGAAAAUAAAAGGGGGAAAAAAAUCAUAUGGCAAGGUAAUGAUAUAUAAGUUCUUUCCCAAGGCUCUAAUUCUCAUGUAUCUCAUUAAAUUUCUUCAAUCACCAUUUUCACAUGUUUUACAGUUUCAAGGUAGUUAUAGGCAACCUAUAUAGUUGAUCUCUUUUCAUAUGUUUUCUAUUCUAUUAAUUAUCUAUGAUAGGAUUCUGCUUUUACCAAAAAAAAAAAAAGAGAUUCUGCUUACUUAAGAAAUUCUUUUGUUUGGGGGGGGGGGGGAUAUUCCACUCAAUUUAGAAUGCUCCUUUGUUAGAUCUAGCAACUGUAGAUAUGGCAAAGGAGAUGGAAGAAAGGUAGAAAUGUCAGAGAAAAACAGUGCACAACAAUCAAUGCAUCUGAAGAAACUGAGUUUCACCAUCUAAAAUUGUCGUGGAAGCACUUCAUGCUUUCAGAAGUACAUAUUGCGGCUAAAAAUUUCAGCUCUGGUCCAAAGGAGACAACCAACCUCAUGCUAUCUUAGACUUACAAAGGAACAUCUUUAACUUCCAUUUGGACUUACCAUUCUCUUCAGUAACACCGUAAGUAUAGCUUGGUCUCUCUCCCUCUCUCUCUCUCUCUCUCUCUCUUCCCACUUUCUCAAAAUUGUCCACACUGCUUGUUUGUUGGUCUAGAUGAUAACUUGAGACAUGUUGGUUAAUUAUCUUUGUACAGUUCCUAAACCAUGUUUUAAGACGUUACUAGAAAUGAAUUUGACUUUAAUCCAAAGACUAUAUAAAAUCAAUUGUAAUGUUAAUUAACACUUGAAUUAUUCUUAUACUAUUUGUUAUCCUCUUUGAAAAUUCUAUUUCAUUUACUGUACAUUUUUUUAAAUACUUGUAUACUACUAUCUUGUAGUGCUUUAUUACAAGACAUUAGUGUACAAUAAAAGUAGAAAUUUCAGCAUCAACAUUAUGUUCUGCAACUACUGUGAGUCUCAUAAUUGGUUUCCUCUUUCUUUGAUUAUGGAUUUUAUAAUUUAAAUAUGGGUCUUUAACUCAAUUGGUAGAGUACUCGUGUGGGAGAUACUUCCAUACCUCAAGAGAUGGUGGUUCGAAUCCACUAAGCCCCUCAUUUAUAUUUUCAUUUUAACCUCAACGGCAAUGUUAUGGGAAUAACAAAACAGUUUUUUAAAUGAAUUCUGUAGGAGGGGAAGUGGUUGGCUUUUUGUAAUUUUUCCACGAUAUUAACAGAUGAGUUAGACCAACUUGGUUCAACACUUGGACAAGUUAGAAACUUGAUUAAAGUGAAAGUUUAGUCGAAUUAAUAUUAAGUUUGAGUCGAGUCUCUUAGUCCUAGGUAAAUA